rnacentral:rRNA from 1 species
CCUACGGGGGGCAGCAGUGAGGAAUAUUGGUCAAUGGGCGCGAGCCUGAACCAGCCAAGUCGCGUGAGGGAAGACGGUCCUAUGGAUUGUAAACCUCUUUUGUCGGGGAGCAAAAGACGCCACGCGUGGCGUUCCGCGAGUACCCGAAGAAAAAGCAUCGGCUAACUCCUUGCCAGCAGCCGCGGUAAUACGGAGGAUGCGAGCGUUAUCCGGAUUUAUUGGGUUUAAAGGGUGCGCAGGCGGAAGAUCAAGUCAGCGGUAAAAUUGAGAGGCUCAACCUCUUCGAGCAGUUGAAACUGGUUUUCUUGAGUGAGUGAGAAGUAUGCGGAAUGCGUGGUGUAGCGGUGAAAUGCAUAGAUAUCACGCAGAACUCCGGUUGCGAAGGCAGCAUACCGGCGCUCAACUGACGCUCAUGCACGAAAGUGUGGGUAUCGAACAGGAUUAGAUACCCUUGUAGUC